CGCCUUGCCAGCCCGCUCAGAACUUAAAGGAAUUGACGGGGCCGCACAAGCGGAGGAGCAUGUGGUUAAUUCGAUGAUACGCGAGGAACCUUACCUGGGCUCGAACGUAAGAUGACUGUAGGUGAAAGCUUACAUCUCUUCGGAGCAUUUUACGAGGUGCUGCAUGGUUGUCGUCAGCUCGUGCCGUGAGGUGUCGGGUUAAGUCCCAUAACGAGCGCAACCCCUACCUUUAGUUGCCAUCAGGUUAAGCUGGGGACUCUAAAGGAACUGCCUACGCAAGUAGUGAGGAAGGCGGGGAUGACGUCAAAUCAGCACGGCCCUUACGUCCAGGGCUACACACGUGCUACAAUGGCCGAUACAGAGGGCAGCUACCUGGUGACAGGAUGCAAAUCUCCAAAGUCGGUCUCAGUUCGGAUCGGAGUCUGCAACCCGACUCCGUGAAGUUGGAUUCGCUAGUAAUCGCGCAUCAGCCAUGGCGCGGUGAAUACGUUCCCGGGCCUU
rnacentral:rRNA from 1 species